GCCAGUAUGGCACAGUAGUUUGAGCGUUGGACUACGGCUCCAGCGAGUAGGGUUCGAAUCCUGGCUUGGCU